UACGUAGGGUGCGAGCGUUUGUCCGGAAUUAUUGGGCGUAAAGAGCUCGUAGGCGGUUUGUCACGUCUGCUGUGAAAUCCCGAGGCUCAACCUCGGGUCUGCAGUGGGUACGGGCAGACUGGAGUGCGGUAGGGGAGAAUGGAAUUCCUGGUGUAGCGGUGGAAUGCGCAGAUAUCAGGAGGAACACCGAUGGCGAAGGCAGGUCUCUGGGCAUUAACUGACGCUGAGGAGCGAAAGCAUGGGGAGCGAACAGG
rnacentral:rRNA from 1 species